GCUUGUCUCAAAGAUUAAGCCAUGCAUGUCUCAGUAUAAGUUCCUGUACGGCGAAACUGCGAAUGGCUCAUUAAAACAGUUACAGUUUAUUUGAUGGUCGUUCCUUACAUGGAUAACUGUGGUAAUUCUAGAGCUAAUACAUGCAUAAAGCAGUCUCACGGCUGCGUAUUUAUUAGAUACAAUCAGCCCCCUCGGGGUCAUGAUGAAUCAUAAUAACUGAACGAAGCGCAUGCUCACGCGGCGCUGUUUCAUUCAAGUUUCUGCCCUAUCAGCUUUCGAUGGUAGGGUAUUGGCCUACCAUGGCGUUAACGGGUAACGGAGAAUUAGGGUUCGAUUCCGGAGAGGGAGCCUGAGAGAUGGCUACCACAUCCAAGGAAGGCAGCAGG
rnacentral:rRNA from 1 species